rnacentral:rRNA from 1 species
UACGGAGAGUGCUAACGUUGUUCGGAUUCACUGGGCGUAAAGGGCACGUAGGCGGCUCGGCAAAUCGGUCGUGGAAUCCAGACGCUUACCGUCUGAACGGCGGCCGAAAAUACCGGGCUCGAGGGCGUGAGGGGUCACUGGAACUCCUGGUGAAGCGGUGAAAUGCGUAGAUAUCAGGAGGAACGCCGGAGGCGAAAGCGAGUGACUGGCGCGUUCCUGACGCUGAGGUGCGAAAGCUAGGGGAGCAAACAGG